CCUACGGGAGGCAGCAGUGGGGAAUAUUGGGCAAUGGGCGCAAGCCUGACCCAGCAACGCCGCGUGAAGGAAGAAGGCUUUCGGGUUGUAAACUUCUUUUGUCAGGGAGGAGUAGAAGACGGUACCUGACGAAUAAGACACGGCUAACUACGUGCCAGCAGCCGCGGUAAUACGUAGGUGGCAAGCGUUGUCCGGAUUUACUGGGUGUAAAGGGCGUGUAGCCGGGUUGACAAGUCAGAUGUGAAAUCCUGCGGCUUAACCGGAGAACUGCAUCUGAAACUGUUGAGCUUGAGUACUGGAGAGGGAGAUGGAAUUCCUAGUGUAGCGGUGAAAUGCGUAGAUAUGAGGAGGAACACCAGUGGCGAAGGCGGUCUGCUGGACAGCAACUGACGGUGAGGCGCGAAAGCGUGGGGAGCAAACAGGAUUAGAUACCCUUGUAGUC
rnacentral:rRNA from 1 species